GCUAGCGUUGUUCGGAAUUACUGGGCGUAAAGCGCACGUAGGCGGCUUUGUAAGUUAGAGGUGAAAGCCCGGAGCUCAACUCCGGAACUGCCUUUAAGACUGCAUCGCUUGAAUCCAGGAGAGGUGAGUGGAAUUCCGAGUGUAGAGGUGAAAUUCGUAGAUAUUCGGAAGAACACCAGUGGCGAAGGCGGCUCACUGGACUGGUAUUGACGCUGAGGUGCGAAAGCGUGGGGAGCAAACAGG
rnacentral:rRNA from 1 species